rnacentral:rRNA from 1 species
GCUAAUACCGCAUAAUGCCUACGGGCCAAAGAGGGGGGCCUUCGGGCCUCUCGCGUCAAGAUAUGCCUAGGUGGGAUUAGCUAGUUGGUGAGGUAAUGGCUCACCAAGGCGACGAUCCCUAGCUGGUCUGAGAGGAUGAUCAGCCACACUGGAACUGAGACACGGUCCAGACUCCUACGGGAGGCAGCAGUGGGGAAUAUUGCACAAUGGGCGCAAGCCUGAUGCAGCCAUGCCGCGUGUAUGAAGAAGGCCUUCGGGUUGUAAAGUACUUUCAGCAGUGAGGAAGGGGGUGUCGUUAAUAGCGGCAUCUCUUGACGUUAGCUGCAGAAGAAGCACCGGCUAACUCCGUGCCAGCAGCCGCGGUAAUACGGAGGGUGCGAGCGUUAAUCGGAAUUACUGGGCGUAAAGCGCAUGCAGGUGGUUUGUUAAGUCAGAUGUGAAAGCCCGGGGCUCAACCUCGGAACUGCAUUUGAAACUGGCAAACUAGAGUACUGUAGAGGGGGGUAGAAUUUCAGGUGUAGCGGUGAAAUGCGUAGAGAUCUGAAGGAAUACCAGUGGCGAAGGCGGCCCCCUGGA